rnacentral:rRNA from 1 species
UACGUAGGGUGCAAGCGUUGUCCGGAAUUAUUGGGCGUAAAGAGCUUGUAGGCGGUUUGUCGCGUCUGCUGUGAAAUUUCGGGGCUCAACCCCGAACUUGCAGUGGGUACGGGCAGACUAGAGUGUGGUAGGGGAGACUGGAAUUCCUGGUGUAGCGGUGAAAUGCGCAGAUAUUAGGAAGAACACCAGUGGCGAAGGCGGCCACCUGGCUCGGUACUGACGCUCAGGCGCGAUAGCGUGGGGAUCAAACAGG